rnacentral:misc_RNA from 1 species
CAAGAAGCCGAAAGGCUACUUAAAACCAUCGCGAACUUAUCCAAGUUGCUUCGGCGGCGCGGCUCCCCUCACGGGGGACCGCAGCCCCCGCCUCUCAGGAGGUAAGGGCAGCCGCCGGGGUACGAAACUCCUGUAUUAUAGUGGUAUCUCUGAGUAUAAAACAAUAAGUUA